CCGGAGCUAAUACCGGAUAAUAUUCGAACCGCAUGGUUCGAUAGUGAAAGGUGGUUUUGCUAUCACUUAUAGAUGGACCCGCGCCGUAUUAGCUAGUUGGUAAGGUAACGGCUUACCAAGGCGACGAUACGUAGCCGACCUGAGAGGGUGAUCGGCCACACUGGAACUGAGACACGGUCCAGACUCCUACGGGAGGCAGCAGAC
rnacentral:rRNA from 1 species